rnacentral:rRNA from 1 species
ACAUGAAGUGCUUGCACUUGAUGACGAGUGGCGCACGGGUGCGUAACGCGUAUGCAACUUACCCCAAACUGGAGGAUAGCCUUUAGAAAUGAAGAAUAAUACUCCAUAGUACUCUGAGAAGGCAUCUUCUUGGAUUUAAAGCUUCGGUGGUUUGGGAUAGGCAUGCGUUCUAUUAGUUAGUUGGUAAGGUAACGGCUUACCAAGACCACGAUAGAUAGGGGGCCUGAGAGGGUUAUCCCCCACACUGGUACUGAGACACGGACCAGACUCCUACGGGAGGCAGCAGUGAGGAAUAUUGCACAAUGGACGAAAGUCUGAUGCAGCCAUGCCGCGUGCAGGAUGAAUGCCCUAUGGGUUGUAAACUGCUUUUAUAUAGGAAGAAACUUUUCUACGUGUAGAGAACUGACGGUACUAUAAGAAUAAGGACCGGCUAACUCCGUGCCAGCAGCCGCGGUAAUACGGAGGGUCCAAGCGUUAUCCGGAUUUAUUGG